UACGUAGGGGGCUAGCGUUGUCCGGAAUCAUUGGGCGUAAAGAGCGUGUAGGCGGCUCGGUAAGUCCGCUGUGAAAGUCCAGGGCUCAACCCUGGAAUGCCAGUGGAAACUGUCGAGCUAGAGUCCGGAAGAGGCGAGUGGAAUUCCUGGUGUAGCGGUGAAAUGCGCAGAUAUCAGGAGGAACACCAAGUGGCGAAGGCAGCUCGCUGGGACGGUACUGACGCUGAGACGCGAAAGCGUGGGGAGCAAACAGG
rnacentral:rRNA from 1 species